GCUAUUCAUUCCAUCUCUGUUCUUUUCAUCAGGGCUCCCCCAAGGGGCCAGCAGCCAGAGAGAAAAAGCGAAAUGCAUUCCCAGCAAGAAGACUCUGUGAGGGGAGUGUCUGAGUCGGGGAAGAGCAGGGAUAUGAGCUUCCAUGACAAAACAGCAACUUUCGUGCCCCACUUUUAAAUACAAGCAGACAAUCAAGGGUCACCAGAUCUGUGAGAAAAUCUAAUAUGAAAGGAAGAGACUAAAAAGAAAGAAAUUUGGGAAAGAAGAGAAAAAAGUAUAGGCGACAGAAGAAAACUUAAAAAGCCCUCAGUAUCUCUGGAGAGAAAAGAAUCCCCAGAAUGUGAAGGACUAUCUGCAUUAGAAGAACUUGUUUUAGCACCCCAGGAGUCUACAUUUCAAACAAGAGCCCCAG